GAUGAACGCUGGCGGCGUGCCUAAUACAUGCAAGUCGAGCGAACGGACGAGAAGCUUGCUCCUCUGAUGUUAGCGGCGGACGGGUGAGUAACACGUGGAUAACCUACCUAUAAGACUGGGAUAACUUCGGGAAACCGGAGCUAAUACCGGAUAAUAUUUUGAACCGCAUGGUUCAAAAGUGAAAGACGGUUUUGCUGUCACUUAUAGAUGGAUCCGCGCUGCAUUAGCUAGUUGGUAAGGUAACGGCUUACCAAGGCAACGAUGCAUAGCCGACCUGAGAGGGUGAUUGGCCACACUGGGACUGAGACACGGUCCAGACUCCUACGGGAGGAAGCAGUAGGGAAUCUUCCGCAAUGGGCGAAAGCCUGACGGAGCAACGCCGCGUGAGUGAUGAAGGUCUUCGGAUCGUAAAACUCUGUUAUUAGGGAAGAACAUAUGUGUAAGUAACUAUGCACAUCUUGACGGUACCUAAUCAGAAAGCCACGGCUAACGACGUG
rnacentral:rRNA from 1 species